rnacentral:rRNA from 1 species
GUGGGGAAUAUUGCACAAUGGGGGGAACCCUGAUGCAGCGACGCCGCGUGAGCGAAGAAGGUUUUCGAAUCGUAAAGCUCUGUCCUAUGAGAAGAUAAUGACGGUAUCAUAGGAGGAAGCCCCGGCUAAAUACGUGCCAGCAGCCGCGGUAAUACGUAUGGGGCGAGCGUUGUCCGGAAUUAUUGGGCGUAAAGGGUACGUAGGCGGUUUAUUAAGUCAGGUGUGAAAGCGUGAGGCUUAACCUCAUUAAGCACUUGAAACUGAUAGACUUGAGUGAAGGAGAGGAAAGUGGAAUUCCUAGUGUAGCGGUGAAAUGCGUAGAUAUUAGGAGGAAUACCGGUGGCGAAGGCGACUUUCUGGACUUUUACUGACGCUCAGGUACGAAAGCGUGGGGAGCAAACAGGAUUAGAAACCCUAGUAGUCC